AUUGAACGCUGGCGGCAGGCCUAACACAUGCAAGUCGAACGAGUGGCGGACGGGUGAGUAAUGUCUGGGAAACUGCCUGAUGGAGGGGGAUAAAUACUGGAAACGGUAGCUAAUACCGCAUACCAUCAGAUCUACCCAGAUGGGAUUAGCUUGUUGGUGGGGUAACGGCUCAACAAGGGGACUAGCCCUAGCUGGGCGGAGAGGAUGACCAGCCACACUGGAACUGAGACACGGUCCAGAAUCCGACGGGAGGCAGCAGUGGGGAAUAUUGCACAAUGGGCGCAAGCCUGAUGCAGCCAUGCCGCGUGUAUGAAGAAGGCCGUCGGGUUGUAAAGUACUUUCAGCGGGGAGGCGUUACCCGCAGAAGAAGCACCGGCUAACGCCGUGCCAGCAGCCGCGGUAAUUC
rnacentral:rRNA from 1 species